GCCGAAAUAGCUCAGUUGGGAGAGCGUUUACUGCAGAUCUAAAGGUCCCUGGUUCAAUCCCGGGUUUCGGCA
rnacentral:tRNA from 1 species